CGGACGGGUGAGUAACACGUGGAUAACCUACCUAUAAGACUGGGAUAACUUCGGGAAACCGGAGCUAAUACCGGAUAAUAUAUUGAACCGCAUGGUUCAAUGGUGAAAGACGGUUUUGCUGUCACUUAUAGAUGGAUCCGCGCUGCAUUAGCUAGUUGGUAAGGUAACGGCUUACCAAGGCAACGAUGCGUAGCCGACCUGAGAGGGUGAUCGGCCACACUGGAACUGAGACACGGUCCAGACUCCUACGGGAGGCAGCAGGC
rnacentral:rRNA from 1 species